UACGAAGGGGGCUAGCGUUGUUCGGAAUUACUGGGCGUAAAGCGCGCGCAGGCGGUCUUCCAAGUCAGUGGUGAAAGCCCGGAGCUCAACUCCGGAAUUGCCAUUGAAACUGUUGGACUUGAGGAUGAGAGAGGUGAGUGGAAUUCCCAGUGUAGCGGUGAAAUGCGUAGAUAUUGGGAGGAACACCAGUGGCGAAGGCGGCUCACUGGACCGGUUCUGACGCUGAGGCGCGAAAGCGUGGGGAGCAAACGGG
rnacentral:rRNA from 1 species